rnacentral:misc_RNA from 1 species
AUUCAUAAACCAGUAUCAUCUCAGCUCCUACACUGCAAUAGCCAACCAACGAAACAAGAUGGCGAUGUCGAAUUUUGGAUAGGACUAUGACCUCAGUUUGGAACUCUGGAAUUCCUUGCCCAUGACUUGAAUCAUAUCGUUUCACUGCUACCUUCAUACCAUUCUUAAGGGUUCCUUUAUAAACUUUACCGAAGCCACCCUCACCAAUCAAAAACUUCUUGUUGAAAUUCUUUGUAGCAGCCACUAUUUCAGCAAAAGAUAUCUUUAGCUUGAGGUUUAAAUUAGGAACCGGGGAGGCAAUUCCAUUUCUUUUAGCUAUCGAUCUAUGGUGAGAGCUCCGAAUCCUACAAGGGAGCAUAGCCUUUAGAGCUACUUCUUUAACAGGCUUAGCUCUCCCCCAUUUCCUACCAAGCAUAAUUAAAAAUAUCAAAAUGGAAACUGAAGCCACUCCCCCAACUGAACCAAUUAUAAUGAACAGACUUUUGUUUUGUUGCCCUUCCGGAGGCAACGCCAACACCGAGCUUUUGUUCAUCACGAACUCCAUAAUCUCGAGUCCAUUUAGAUAAGCUUGUUUGUCAAUAUGAUCAUUAGGGCCUACACUAAUUUUGAGAUGUCCAGAAUCAUCAGAAUCCACCACCAGAUCAUAAAUGUUAGGAUAAUCAUAAGUAUUUAUUUCUUUAGUUUUUUCGCCGUCAAUAUAGAGAUUAAAUGCAAAAACAGCACGAAUAUUGUUACAGAAAUGAAAGCGAACAAAAUGUCGAGUUUUCUUCCUUACACUGAAACGCCAAGUUAUAUUCAG